CCUGGUGGCUCAGAUGGUAAAGCAUCUGCCUGCAAUACAGGAGACCCAGGUUCAAUUCCUGGGUCAGGA
rnacentral:tRNA from 1 species